AUACAUGCAGUCGAGCGGACCUUUUAAAGCUUGCUUUUGAAAGGUCAGCGGCGGACGGGUGAGUAACACGUGGGCAACCUGCCUGUAAGACUGGGAUAACUUCGGGAAACCGGAGCUAAUACCGGAUAAUAUAAAGAACCUCCUGGUUCUUUAUUGAAAGAUGGUUUCGGCUAUCACUUACAGAUGGGCCCGCGGCGCAUUAGCUAGUUGGUGAGGUAAUGGCUCACCAAGGCGACGAUGCGUAGCCGACCUGAGAGGGUGAUCGGCCACACUGGGACUGAGACACGGCCCAGACUCCUACGGGAGGCAGCAGUAGGGAAUCUUCCACAAUGGACGAAAGUCUGAUGGAGCAACGCCGCGUGAGCGAUGAAGGCCUUCGGGUCGUAAAGCUCUGUUGUUAGGGAAGAACAAGUGCGAGAGUAACUGCUCGCACCUUGACGGUACCUAACCAGAAAGCCACGGCUAACUACGUGCCAGCAGCCGCGGUAAUACGUAGGUGGCAAGCGUUGUCCGGAAUUAUUGGGCGUAAAGCGCGCGCAGGUGGUCCUUUAAGUCUGAUGUGAAAGCCCACGGCUCAACCGUGGAGGGUCAUUGGAAAUUUCGGGGGGGGGGGGGCAUAUCUCCAAUACACCGAAGCAGCUCAUGGUCUUUGACGCUC
rnacentral:rRNA from 1 species